GAAAAAAAUAAUAAUAAUUCCAAAAAAUGGUGUCUUCAAAAUUAGAAGAUGGUCUAAUUUACAACAUAAAAUUAUCCUCAGUUGGACCAGCAAGAGUAACAGGACAAGAUGUUGUUUAUGAGCCAAGUAACAUGGAUUUGGCCAUGAAAUUACAUUAUUUGAGAGGGAUUUAUUACUUUGAUAGCCAAGCAUUUCAAGGUGUCACAAUUUAUAAAAUAAAAGAACCAAUAUUUAUUUGGUUCAAUUAUUUUUAUAUGACUAAUGGUAGGUUUAGAAGGGCAGAAUCAGGGAGACCUUACAUUAAAUGUAAUGAUUGUGGUGCUAGGUUUAUUGAAGCACAAUGUGAUAAAACUUUGGAUGAAUGGCUAGAAAUGAAAGAUACUUCACUUGAGAAAUUACUUGUUUCUAAUCAAGUUCUUGGUCCUGAAUUGGCUUUCUCACCUCCAGUCCUCAUACAGCAUACUAAAUUCAAAUGUGGUGGAAUUUCAUUGGGCCUAAGUUGGGCCCAUGUACUUGGAGAUAUAUUCUCAGCAACUGAAUUUUGGAACUUUUUGGGUAAAGUAGUUGGUGGAUACCAACCGCCCCGACCCAUUAACUUGGCCCAUUCAUUAACCAAAGCAAACUCAACAGAAACCCUACAAAAAAUUGUGGAGGAUCCACUUUCCAUAAAACGGGUUGACCCGGUUGAAGAUCAUUGGGUUGCUAAUGCAAGUUACAAGUUGGAGUCGUUUUCGAUCCAUGUUAGUGCAUCCAAAUUGGGCCAAUUACAAUCAAGAAUAGGGAUUCAAGGCCCAUUUGAAUCACUAUGUUCUAUUAUUUGGCAGUCCAUUUCAAGAAUUAGAGAUGGGCCAGGCCCAAAAGUUGUGACCAUUUGUAAAAAGGGUGAAGAAAAGAAAGAGGGCGGCCUUAUAGGAAACACACAAUUAAUUGGUGUGGUUAAGGUUGAUGACUCAAUUAGAGAUGCUAAUCCUAGUGAAUUAGCAAGGUUGAUUAAAAAUGAGAUCAUCGACGAGCGAUUAAAGAUCGAUGAAGCCAUCGAGAAAGAGCAUGGAGUGUCUGAUGUGAUCGUAUAUGGAGCAAAUUUGACUUUCGUUAGCCUGGAAGGUGUUGAUCUCUAUGAAUUCGAUUGGAAGGGUCAUAAGCCGAAGAAUGUAAGUUACUUUAUCGAUGGAGUAGGCGAUGCAGGGACCGUGUUGGUGCUUCCGGACGGGCCAAAUUAUGCUGAAGGAAGGAUUGUGACCAUGACUUUGCCCGUGGAUGAGAUAAUGAAGUUGAAAAAUGAGCUAAACAACGAAUGGUCUAUUGCUUGAACAACAACAACAUGUUCAGUGUAAUCGCUUAGGCGGAGUCUCAAAAUAGCAUAUUGGUUGGAAUAAGAAGUAUUUGUUUCAAUUCUUGUUUCAUAGUUUAUUUUGGUUUAAUUGUGGUGUUGGUUUGCUAG
rnacentral:misc_RNA from 1 species